AUGGCGACCGGCGCACGGGUGAGUAACACGUAUCCAACCUGCCGAUAACUCGGGGAUAGCCUUUCGAAAGAAAGAUUAAUACCCGAUGGUAUAAUCAGACCGCAUGGUUUGAUCAUUAAAGAAUUUCGGUUAUCGAUGGGGAUGCGUUCCAUUAGGCAGUUGGUGAGGUAACGGCUCACCAAACCUUCGAUGGAUAGGGGUUCUGAGAGGAAGGUCCCCCACAUUGGAACUGAGACACGGUCCAA
rnacentral:rRNA from 1 species